ACCUUUGGCUUUAUUUCUUGUUCUAAGUUCAGAAUUGUUUAGGUCUUGCAUUCUUUUUAUGGACGUCUUCCAUAAUUUGCUGGAAAGUUCUUGGUUAAUUUGGUUGUUGGGAGAUUGUUACUUAAUUAUAUAGUGCAGCCUUGUAUCCCAUUUAACAGUGCAUCUUAUCCAGUAUUUUCUGGCGGGAGGCCGCCUGGAGUUUUACAAAGAGCCGUUUCUGCAGCUCGUAUGAUGUUCUUAUUAGAGCUUCCUUUUAUUUAAAUAGGCUUGAACUAGUCAGUUUUCUCGCCUAAAAAAGGCUUGAACCACAUAGGACUGCUAUGUGGAAUUUUCUAAUAUCUAUUCACUCUUUCUCAUUUUGUCUCGUUCGCAUUGCCUGCCUUAUGCUUUCAAGUUUGGGUCAUAUUUACCAGACUACGAAUGAGGGUAUUAGUGUUAAUGCAUUGUGAUUUUCUCCUUCAUCUAAAGCGGAGCAUAUAUUUCUCCAAAACUUCUUUCUUAAUUCGAUUCAUAUAUUUUUGUUAGCUUUCAUAUAUUUUUUUCUUAACCCAUGGAUUCCCUUUCAAAGAUACUAUUAGAAACUCAGUGACCUUUUUUAGCUUUUGUUUACCAUCAAUGCUUUUGUUGAUAUUAUAUAUUUGCUUUGCAGCCACUUUUGUUUUAUUGCCAUUCAAUUAUUUGGUCAGUUCAACUGGUGAAGGCUCAAGAAAUCCAUUGGCAGACUGCCGUCUUCAUGGGUUGUUUAUACUUAAUUAUUUUCUUAAGUGUGUUGUUGGUGAUGAGUCCAUGACAGACCGAAGCAAUGAAAAUGCAACUGCAGAUUCUCUUUCUAAAGGAAAAACACACUUCUCUGACUUUCCUUACUGCAAAGCCUUAGAAAAUGCAAUUUGAUCGUGUAGAUAUCGAGGGGAAGGCGCACAGUGGGUCACGUGUGAGAUUGCCAUUUGUAUCUCUGUUUGAUACUCUUGGCAUGUAAAUGUCUUGAUCUUUUACCUCCAUGACGAGAGUGAUUUCUAUGGUUUAAGUUAUACUGUGUUUUUGUUAGAUUGGAUGUAUACAUGCUAAUGCUCUACUACUCUUUGUUGGCUUCAAAAAAGUGAUAAUUUUAGACUUUAUUUUGAUUUCUCUUCCUC